rnacentral:rRNA from 1 species
GAUGAACGCUGGCGGCGUGCCUAAUACAUGCAAGUCGAGCGAACAGACGAGGAGCUUGCUCCUCUGACGUUAGCGGCGGACGGGUGAGUAACACGUGGAUAACCUACCUAUAAGACUGGGAUAACUUCGGGAAACCGGAGCUAAUACCGGAUAACAUGUUGAGCCGCAUGGUUCAACAGUGAAAGACGGUCUUGCUGUCACUUAUAGAUGGAUCCGCGCCGCAUUAGCUAGUUGGUAAGGUAACGGCUUACCAAGGCAACGAUGCGUAGCCGACCUGAGAGGGUGAUCGGCGACACUGGAACUGGGACACGGUCCAGGCUCCUAGGGGAGGCAGCAGUAGGGAAUCUUCGGCAAUGGGCGGAAGCCUGACGGAGCAGCGCCGCGUGAGUGAAGAAGGUCUUCGGAUCGUAAAACUCUGUUAUUAGGGAAGAACAAAUGUGUAAGUAACUAUGCACGUCUUGACGGUACCUAAUCAGAAAGCCACGGCUAACUACGUG